CUGGGGGCGGGGGAUGGUGGCAGGUGUCAGCCCUGCGGGGGGGCCCAUUUCCCAGCCCCCCUGCCCUGUAGCGCGGGGCCAGGCUGCUCCCCGCCUGUGUCCCUAGCUGGGGGGGGGCCUGGAUCGGGUCCAACCCCCCCAUUUCCCCAGGCCCCAUUGCGGGGGAAAGAAACUUUUCAAGUGUCUUUAAAAAUCCCAGCGACUCCUGGCUCCCUCCUGCCGAGCCGGCCCCCCCCGCCCACCCCCAGGCGAACGCAGACAUCGGGGAGGGGGGAGAGGGCUGGAGCCAACUCAGCUCCCCCCUCCCCGCUGGGCCCCUCGGGAGGGGAAAGGCUGAAGCCGGUUUCUGGAUCCCUGCGGGCCCUUCCCCCUGCUGAGCCGCUUAGUCAGGCCGGCUCCCAUUCCUCGGCUGCUUGAGAUUCCCCGUAUUCCUGCCCUGGGGCGCUGCCCUCGGGGAUGGGGCGUCGUGGGGCGUAAAGAUCCUGCCGGAGUCUGGGUGGGCCAGAGGCAGCAGAACAGACUUGGGGGGUUGGAGCUGGACAUUUCUCCUAGUGGGGUUAGUUGCCCCUGGCCCGGCGCUGAUCCACCCCCCGCCCAGGAGCGGGCCACGUUCUAGUGGCGGUUUGGUCUGGGUUUGGGCGGGGAACUAGGGGACAGUGGAUGGUGCUGGAAGGACCCACCCAAAGUGCGGCUUGAGCCUGCUGGGGAAGGCGGGUUGGGCCACGUCCCCGCCGGGAAGAUGAACCUCGUUCUGGGGCCGUACGGCGAGGGCGCGGAGACGCUGCUUCACGGGGAGUUUGGGGCUUACCCCUCCAAGGGGUCCCGCUACGCCCUCAGCCUGACCCGGACGGCGCUGCACAUCCAGCGGCUGGUGCCCAAGCCGGAGACGGACCAGCGCACCGUGGUGCCCCUGGCCGAGGUGGUGGGUUGCCACACGCUGCGUAGCCGGGCGCCGGCCGACCGGGCGGCGUAUUUCUCUGUCUACGCCUACCCGCUGAAGAAGAGGAAGGUGGCGGUGGGGUCGGGGCGCGGGCGGCAGAGGGCGGCGCGGACCUUCCAGGUGGAUGGGGCUGACGACUACGAGAAGAACCAAGCGGUGGCGGAGAAAUGGGCGGCUGCCAUCAAGUGCCUGGUGUUGGGCAUCCCCAUCUCCAGCGACACAGACAUCGCUCCCAGCCUCCUGCCGCGCCCACGCCGGCUGCUGCUGCUGCUGAACCCGUUUGGGGGCAGGGGCCUGGCCCUGCAGUGGUGCCAGACCCACGUGCUGCCCAUGAUCACGGAGGCCGACAUCAGCUUCAACUUGAUCCAGACGGAGAGGCCGAACCACGCCCGGGAGCUGGUGAAGGGCAUCAACCUGGCAGAAUGGGAUGGGAUCGUCGCCGUCUCGGGGGAUGGGCUCCUAUAUGAGGUUCUCAACGGGCUCAUGGAGCGCCCCGACUGGGAGCAGGCCAUCAAGAUGCCGAUUGGGAUUUUACCGAGUGGUUCGGGGAAUGCAUUGGCUGGAGCCAUCAACUGUAACGCCGGCAGGCUGGAGCAGGUGCUGGGUCUGGAGCUGCUGCUGAACUGCACCCUGCUGCUGUGCCACGCAGCCGUCACCCCCCUGGACCUGGUGGCCGUCACCACGGCCUCGGGCGCCCGCUGCUUCUCCUGCCUCAGCGUGGCCUGGGGCUUCGUCUCGGACGUGGACAUCGAGAGCGAGAAGUACCGGCACAUGGGCGCCGCCCGCUUCACGCUGGGCACCCUGGUGCGCCUGGCCUCCAUGCACACCUACCGCGGGCGCCUCGCCUACCUGCCCGCCGCCGACGCCCACCGGCCCAUCUCCCGCAGCAUCACCGUGGCCCCCAACGGCCGCCUGCCCCUGCAGCGCCUGCCUCUGCACCGCGCCCUGUCCGACAUGGGGCUGUGCGAGGAGCGUCACACCUUCCGGGGGGCCGAGCCGGCCCCCGCGCCCUGCCCCUCGCCCGGCUCCCCGCCCCCCUCCUCCGCCUCCGUCCUGCCCCCGCCCAGCUUCUCCUUCGAGCCCGGGCCGGGGGAGCUGCCGGCCGGCGGGGCGGGCGAGGCCCGGGUGGGCGGCCCCCCGGACGAGCUGCUGGUGCCGCUGGGGCAGCCGGUGCCCGGCUCCUGGGUGACGGUGGAGGACGACUUCGUGCUGGUGCUGGCCAUCUACCAGAGCCACCUGGGGGCCGACCUCUUCGCCGCCCCCUUCGCCCGCUUCGACGACGGGCUCAUCCACCUCUGCUUCAUCAAAGCCGGCAUCUCCCGCGCCGCCCUGGUCCGCCUCUUCCUGGCCAUGGAGAAGGGCAGCCACUUCGAGCAGGAGUGCCCCCACCUCGUCCACGUGCCCGUCCGGGCCUUCCGCCUGGAGCCCCUCACCCGCAAGGGCAUCCUGACUGUGGACGGCGAGCGGGUGGAAUACGGCCCCAUCCAGGGCCAGGUGCACCGGGGCCUCGCCAGACUGAUCACCGGCGUCGACCGCCUCAAGAUCGCCACCGGCUGACGCCCCCCGGCUGGGCGUGGGGGGGGGCCAGACCCCUCUCCAGCCGGCUUGGUGCGAGGGGUAGCAGGAAACGGCUGGCAGGGGCCGUGCCGCCCCCCCCCCUCCCGGCGGCAGCGGGGACUGACCGCCCAGCGCCUGCCUAAAGCUGCCUAUUUAUUGCUUUGAUCCUGGCAUCACCCACUGAAUGAAUGUAAGGCAGGGGCGUGACCCCUGGGGGAGGGGAGGGGAGGGGGGUCUCCCACCCUGUGGGGGUCACAGGAGGGAAAAGGCCCUUUUUCACCCUCCCCUCCCCAUCCCGCAUCCAGGGGGCGCUAGGGAGUCGCAACCGGGGCACGUUCCCACUGCCCGCCACGGAGGGGGAGGCUGUGGCCGCGGGGGCGGCCACCGGGCUGGUGCCUCCAGCCACGGGGGGGAGUGGGAGGGGCUGGCAGGUGUCCCAGCAGGUGCUGCAGUACCUGUGCCCCCCCCGGUGUGCAGCCUGGUGUCUCCCCCUGGGGGCUGGAGGUGGGGCUGCAGGCGAGAUGCUCCCAUUACAUGCGGGGGAGGGGGCGUGGCUUUGCGGACCAGUUGCUGAUCUCUGUGGUGCGGUCAUGCUGGCUGGCUGCCCCUGCUCUAACCACUCGCGCCCCCCUCCCCCCUGAGCCAGGCUAGAACCCAGGAGUCCUGGCUCCCAGUCUCCACCUCACCCCCGCUCUAAUCACUAGACCCCCCUCCCCUAUAUGAGCAGCAGGUACAAUUUUUGGAGGGGAGGGGGGUCUACUGGGGGGUGGGAGCCAGGACUCCUGGGGUCUUUUCCUGACUCUGGGAGGGGAGGGGAGCCUAGGGGGUGGGCAGGUACGUGCCUCAGUUUCCCUCUAUCCCAGACACUGGCAGGCUGGCCCCCCUCCGCUGGCCAGGUGCCAGGUGCACCAGAGCCUGGCGGGAAGGGGCAGGGCCCAGCAAAGGCCGCACGCUGGAGCUUUCUUUGCACUAAAACCUCUGUGCUCUGUGAGGGGGGAGGCCUGGUGGGCUGUGGGGGGAGGGGGGAAGAGAUGACAAUGUCUGUCUGUCCUGUGUGUCCUACUAGUUGCUGCUGCUAACAGCGCCCCCCCCCCCCCCCAGUAACUUUGAUGUGAGCAAGAAACUAGAAUGAGCUGAAAUUGAUCAGCCCCAUGGGCCCAUCUACCCUGGUGUCCCCCUGGCCCUGGCCAGAUCAGCCCCAUGGGCCCAUCUACCUGGUAUCCCCCCUGCCCUGUCCGUCCAGGGCCAGAUCAGCCCCAUGGGCCCAUCUAUCCCAGUAUCUGACCUUUUUCCCCCAUCAGCUCCGUGAACCCCUUUCCCCUGCUGUCCAGCAAGGCAGUGGGAGGAGCAGCUCUGACUUCCCCUACAAUGCAGUGGGAGGCAAUUUCUCCCCCUGCCCCCCAGGUGCCUUGCUGGGGGGGGGUGUACUGGCAUCAGGCCCUGUGUGUUAACCCUGCGUGUGCCAUGGCUGCCCUCGCUGUUCCCACGUCUUGUCCCUGUCGAAGUGAUUUAGACCUAUGCAAUAAAGCAAGAGCAUGAGGCCUC